GAGGGUAGAGCUCACUGGUAGAGCUCAUGCUUAGCAUGCACAAGGUUCUGGGUCCAAACCUCAGUACCUGCA
rnacentral:tRNA from 1 species